rnacentral:rRNA from 1 species
UACGAAGGGGCUAGCGUUGCUCGGAAUCACUGGGCGUAAAGGGUGCGUAGGCGGGUCUUUAAGUCAGGGGUGAAAUCCUGGAGCUCAACUCCAGAACUGCCUUUGAUACUGAAGAUCUUGAGUGCGGGAGAGGUGAGUGGAACUGCGAGUGUAGAGGUGAAAUUCGUAGAUAUUCGCAAGAACACCAGUGGCGAAGGCGGCUCACUGGCCCGGUACUGACGCUGA